rnacentral:tRNA from 1 species
UCUAACGUGGCAGAUAAGUGCGGUGGAUUUAAGCUCCACAAAUAAAGUCAAUAAGACUUUCAUUAGAA